rnacentral:lncRNA from 1 species
GACUCUUUAGCUUCUUCCUCUUAGUGUCUCUCAUUCAACGUACGGCAGUUGAGACUCAUCCAUGUUCUCGCGUGUAUGAGUCGUUCACUACUUUUCAAUCCUGACUCCUGUCCCGUUGUUCGCCUACCCACUCCGUCACCGGUGAACGUUAGAAUGCCAAGGAACACACCUGUCGAGUCCUACAGGAAGGCCAGGAAGCUCAGAGCCAAACUUGCAAAUCCUACUCUGGAGCCCCGUGCCUUGAGUAUUUUCAUUCUCACGUCUUCCAUUUAAACCGGCAUUUGCUUUAAUUGUAUGAUUCCUACUGUUUCAAUUUAUUAACAUAUUUCUUAUCAGCCAUCUCUUUUUGUCUUGUCUGUGUGUAUGUAGAAC